GCCAAUCAGUGUUUUAUUUACUAACCAAUCAGAGCAACACAUUUGCCAUACAGAACAUCCCACAGCAGCAAAAUCAUUUUAAUCUCACAGAAUUUUCUGUAUCAACUCAUUUUCUCAGUCCCUCUGCUCAGUCCUUUGAGUCCCACCCUCAGCCUGAUUCAGAUCUCACGUGCCCUACAAAGCCCCUCUGCAGUCCUCUCCUCCCUGCUUCCCUGGGCUCUUCUUCUAGCUGCCUUCCACACCAGUAAGCAUUCAGAUUCAGCCCAGUUUCUGAACUCACAUCUGCAAUAUCUUUCCCAAGAAAAGAUAGUUCUUCCUUUUUUUAGUGUGUUGAUAGGGAGAGUGUGGCAGGUAAGUAUGUGUUUCUGGGUAUUUAAGAAUAAAACUUUAUGAGUUUAUUUUCCUUUAAUUUUUUCUCACUUUAUUAACUGAUAUGGGAAGUCACCCAGGUCUUCCAUGAAAUAUGCUUGCCAUCAGAUUUAGGGAGCUAACAAUGACUGAGGAAAGCAAUGAAGUCAUAUUUGUCUGUGGCCUUAAGUCUAAAAUACCCAAUGAAUAUGCCCACUCGGAAUGAUCUGCUGCUACAGUAGAUGACACUCAGUUCCAUGGCUCUGCAUGAAGUCCCAUGCUACUGGGAACUCCAGGGUUGGAUGAACAUCCUGGUGUUGUCUACCAGUCUGCUACCCUAGGAUGAAUCUGCAGAGCCUUUCAACACAGUAGCCAACUGACUACAAGAGUUUGUCAUCCCGUCCUUUCUCCUGUCUCAGCAGGAGCAAAACUUAACAGCCCCAAAAGCUUUGACAAGAUAUCUAUGGACAGAUGGAAAGUGUUUGGCCUUUAUCGUGGUGUUGAGGUAUCUCAGUGGUUGGGCCAGCUCAGCCAGGAUGCUCAGUGCCCCAAACCAGGUGAUGAGAGAGCUGCCUGAAUUCCUGCUGUUUCCAUGGAGACCAAACGUUUAUGUGGGUUCAGUAAUCCCCAGCAGCAGCUCACACUGAGGUGCGGUCUCCCUCACCUGGUGCCAGGAGAAUGCACCCAGUGAACUCUCAGAGCAUGCUGCUCCCCAUCUCCUGAUGCUCUGAACCUGGAGGUUUCACAAUCAACCUGACUCGGUGACCCACACUGCUUGAUUACAUAAUCAAACAAGGAUUUAGAGUCUGCUGUGUCCACACUUGUGGGGCACUGAGCUGCACAACACAGGAAAGGAGAUGGAACAGAGGCCAGUGAAACCCUCUAAGUCAGUGGUUCUCAACCUUUCUAAUGCUGAGACCCUUUAAUAAAAUUCCUCGUGUGUGACCCCCCAGCCAUAAAAUUGUUUUUGUUGCUACUUCAUAACUAUCAUUUUACUACCGUUAUGAAUCAUAAAUAUCUGUGUUUUCUCUUGGUCUUAGGUGACCCCUGUGGAAAGGUCGUUAGAUCACCCAAAGGGUCUCGACCCACAGGUUGAGAACUGCUGCUCUAGACUGUCCUUUCCCCCUGCUGCCCUCAUAUCUAUCUGUCUCAGUACUUCUCUGCCUUUUCCUCAUGGCGUUUCCAUAGCUCAUGGAGAAAACAUGAAGGCCAACCAUGGGGGCCAUGCUGUCUGGGAUGUGGGAUGCUAGACUGGCUCAGAUCGCCUAUGCCUGCCCCACAGAAUGACGAGGCCUCACUGCUGCUCUCCUGUGGACACCCCUGCACACAGUUAAAUUGUGUGAUCCUAGAGGACAGCAGAUAACUUAGACACUUCUAAUUUGUGCUCUGUGCCACACUCCUCUGAGAAUGGAGUGUCAUCUGCACCCUUUGGAUGCUUACUGUUGGACGGCCCGAGCACUCAAGACCUCACUCAUGAAAUGAUCCCUGGAGAGAAGAGAUCUCGUUUCCAGAUGGGAAAACCGAGGCGUAGUGGGGUUGACAUUGGGAUCCUCUAGUCAGUGAAUGACAGGUCCAGGAACCAUCGCUUCCAGGUCUUGGUCGUCAAGUCUCACAUCUUGAGAAACCUCAGCAAUGCUGAUUGAUUCACAGCAUCAGGAUUUAUUUGCACUGAAGCCGUGGAGAUCUUCCUACCUCUGCAGUUCCCUACCGCCAGUCACAUCGGUCCUCACGAGGCACCCCUUGUCUGCUGUCCAGGAGCACUGGGUUCCAAGGAG